rnacentral:rRNA from 1 species
GAUGAACGCUGGCGGCGUGCCUAAUACAUGCAAGUCGAGCGAACGGACGAGAAGCUUGCUUCUCUGAUGUUAGCGGCGGACGGGUGAGUAACACGUGGAUAACCUACCUAUAAGACUGGGAUAACUUCGGGAAACCGGAGCUAAUACCGGAUGAUAUUUUGAACCGCAUGGUUCAAAAGUGAAAGACGGUCUUGCUGUCACUUAUAGAUGGAUCCGCGCUGCAUUAGCUAGUUGGUAAGGUAACGGCUUACCAAGGCAACGAUGCGUAGCCGACCUGAGAGGGUGAUCGGCCACACUGGAACGGAGACACGGUCCAGACUCCUACGGGAGGCAGCAGUAGGGAAUCUUCCGCAAUGGGCGAAAGCCUGACGGAGCAACGCCGCGUGAGUGAUGAAGGUCUUCGGAUCGUAAAACUCUGUUAUUAGGGAAGAACAGAUGUGUAAGUAACUGUGCACAUCUUGACGGUACCUAAUCAGAAAGCCACGGCUAACUACGUG